CUACGUGCCAGCAGCCGCGGUAAUACGUAUGUCACAAGCGUUAUCCGGAUUUAUUGGGCGUAAAGCGCGUCUAGGUGGUUAUGUAAGUCUGAUGUGAAAAUGCAGGGCUCAACUCUGUAUUGCGUUGGAAACUGCAUGACUAGAGUACUGGAGAGGUAAGCGGAACUACAAGUGUAGAGGUGAAAUUCGUAGAUAUUUGUAGGAAUGCCGAUGGGGAAGCCAGCUUACUGGACAGAUACUGACGCUAAAGCGCGAAAGCGUGGGUAGCAAACAGGAUUAGAUACCCUGGUAGUCCACGCCGUAAACGAUGAUUACUAGGUGUUGGGGGUCGAACCUCAGCGCCCAAGCUAACGCGAUAAGUAAUCCGCCUGGGGAGUACGUACGCAAGUAUGAAACAUAAAGGAAUUGACGGGGACCCGCACAAGCGGUGGAUUAUGUUCUUUAAUUCGAUGAUAACCGAAGAACCUUACCAGGGCUUGACAUCCAG
rnacentral:rRNA from 1 species